AGUGAACGCUGGCGGUAGGCCUAACACAUGCAAGUCGAACGGCAGCACAGUAAGAGCUUGCUCUUACGGGUGGCGAGUGGCGGACGGGUGAGGAAUACAUCGGAAUCUACUUUUUCGUGAGGGAUAACGUAGGGAAACUUACGCUAAUACCGCAUACGACCUACGGGUGAAAGCAGGGGAUCUUCGGACCUUGCGCGAUUGAAUGAGCCGAUGUCGGGUUAGCUAGUUGGCGGGGUAAAGGCCCACCAAGGCGACGAUCCGUAGCUGGUCUGAGAGGAUGAUCAGCCACACUGGAACUGAGACACGGUCCAGACUCCUACGGGAGGCAGCAGUGGGGAAUAUUGGACAAUGGGCGCAAGCCUGAUCCAGCCAUACCGCGUGGGUGAAGAAGGCCUUCGGGUUGUAAAGCCCUUUUGUUGGGAAAGAAAAGCAGCAGGUUAAUACCCCGCUGUUCUGACGGUACCCAAAGAAUAAGCACCGGCUAACUUCGUG
rnacentral:rRNA from 1 species